CGCGGGAUGGAGCAGUCUGGUAGCUCGUCGGGCUCAUAACCCGAAGGUCGGGGGUUCAAAUCCCUCUCCCGCAA
rfam:Malonomonas rubra DSM 5091 genome assembly, contig: EJ68DRAFT_scaffold00003.3